UACGGGGGGAGCAAGCGUUGUUCGGAUUUACUGGGCGUAAAGGGCGCGUAGGCGGCUUGGUCAGUCCCGUGUGAAAUCCCUCGGCUCAACUGAGGAACUGCACGGGAAACUGCCUGGCUUGAGUUCGGGAGAGGGAAGCGGAAUUCCGGGUGUAGCGGUGAAAUGCGUAGAUAUCCGGAGGAACACCGGUGGCGAAGGCGGCUCCUGGACCGACACUGACGCUGAGGCGCGAAAGCUAGGGGAGCAAACGGG
rnacentral:rRNA from 1 species